rnacentral:lncRNA from 1 species
AUCCUGUUAACUUGAGUAUGGUAGAGAUUGGAAUAAUUAAAUUUUGAUCUAGGCUGCAGCCCUUACUCAAUCCUAUUAGGACUGAAUAGGGUGGAGUAACUCCAUUGUAUCAAUUCUAAAAUCAAUCAAGACUCAAAGAAAUUCCUGUUCUAUGCUCAAGCAUAGGUCAAAGUCCUUUCCAUUGUUCAGCAAAGGGUUUCUGUCCUAAAGUAAUCUUAAGAAGGGAAGAGAAGGAACCUCCCAUGCCAAUGGAGUUCCCAUUCCAAUAGACUAUCAGUAAGAAAUUUUCCAAGUAUGAAAUAUCCCAAUGGUGAAAUUUCCAACAUUUAUAAGUCUAAGGAAAUUUGAGGUUUACAUGAUAGACUUAUUAUGUUCUACGUUUUGUUUUGUGAAGAGUCAUCUUGAGCUAAUGUAUGAAUAUGAGGCACAAGGGCACCUGAAUCAGCUCCCUGCACCCCGAGGUUUCUGAUACCGGAUUGCCUUCAGAUGGAUCCACCAUGGGAAAAGAAGCCCUGGUUUCUGUCAAAGCCUGGAUUGUUCAUCUUGGUUUCCAUGCUGGCUUUGAACAACAGCCUGGGCUACCACCCCGGCAAGAUGAAAUGUAUCAUGUUCCUCGAUCGGCCCACACGAGGAGAGGCUCUUCAUCAGAAGGUCAGGAAUAAGGCAACCAUUUGGCCACAGGUUCCAACAAACACGUGAAUGAUGCAUACUGGAAAAGGGAGAGGGUUUGGGGAUGGACUGAGUUGGGCCACUGUCAGUAGGCUGACUGUGGGUUGAAAGGCCAACAGUCUGACCAGGGCAGAGCCUGGUCUGAGGUCACACACAGACCACUCAGUAAAAUGGGAAAGUGAAUAGGCUAGAAGGGGAUGGGAUAGCCCUAAAGCUAAUUUUAAGGAAUACCCCAGGAUCUCGUGUCUCUUCACAGAUUCUUCAGAGAGGCUGUUCUACACUAACCCUUUCCUCACUUCCUAAAAACCCCAGUGCCUGUUCUUGAUAAGCUACGACUAACCCCCCUUAGAUGGUAUUAAGGUCUGUGUAAGCCCGAUAGGGCCCAGGAAAGUCCUGGAUCCAAAAAGGGCCCAGACCUGGUCUUGCAAUCACUGCAGACAGUUGGGCAGGAUCACCAGGUUCGGCUCUGAUGGAAUGCCGCACACAAGACAGCCAGCAGGACAGGAACAAGGAUAGGAUCAGUCCCCAAGGAAAAGCAGCCCCACCUCCAGAUACCUCCAGAGAGGCCACUCACCCCUCAGUUCCAGUCUAACCCUUCCUUCAAAGUUCCAGAAUCUUUCCUGCUGCUCUCAUGCCACUCUCCUCUGCAAUCUUACACAUUUCCCUACUUACCUUUUCCUUAACAGCAGCGAAAGUAUACUGGGUGGCACUUUCUUUGGGUGGAAGGAAAGCAGGGAUCUUUUGAAGUAGCAAGGAAUGCUGGCAUCGUGGAUUGUCAAAUGAUGAUACUUGGGAAGAGACUAGAUACUAAACACUUUGAUUCUUUAAAAAGCAACAACUCAAAUAAUUUCUCUGUAACUUCUCCUUUUAAAGUGGUGCUUAGAUCACUGGGAGGUCAGAGAAAUUGCCCAGGGUCCCCUGGGUAGGAUGUAUUUGAAUGAGAACUUAAGCUAUUGCCUUUUGUCUAGAAGGCAAUGCUGCCUCCAUGAUUUUCAGAACCUCACUAUUUAUAAUUGAUGGUGGUCUCAGGAGACUUCUUGAGUUCUAGCUACUGUGUUUGGAAGUCACCUGGGAUUUAGAAAGACAAAAAGCAUAAAAAUAAAUAAAAGUUAAAAUAAUUACUUAAAUAUCA